UUCUCUCCCCUUCCAACUUUCAUUCGCCCCUUUUCAUUCUCUCUCUGAAACUUCCCCAGAUUUGCGACUCUGACUUCUCGUUGCUAGGGUUUGUGACUGGACUCAGCGGUGUUCCAGUGAGUUUUAUGUGGAGCUCCGGUCAGAAGAGAUCAGCUAUAUAUUAUUGUUGAAUAGAACGUUUUAGUUCGAUUAUGCAAUUCGUUUUGGUCUUUCUGUGAAAUUGUAAUCUGGUGGAGUGAAGACUAGAAAGUGAGUGAUCAACUUUGUUCUUACUGAUGUAUAUUGGUAUUAACCUUUGAAUUGCAGGAGAAUAAAAAUUGUAGUUAAUUAGCUACUUCAUUCAUACCGUUUUAAAAAAAUAUGCUGAGUAGUAAAAUUCACUUAUUAUGCCUUUUUGAGAGGGUUGAGAUUCGUUUUUCCCGGUUUUUGCGGCGUUCUGUGUUCUUAUCUGAUUAUUAUCUCAUUUGCAACUGCAAGUACACAUUGAAUUGGUGUUAGCGGGAUGGCUUGUUUCUGUGGUUUUGAAGAUUGCGAUUUAUUUACUUUUGGCUUCUAAUAUUUUUCCGGUUGCUUGUUUCUUGGGGGAUAUUUCAACGCGGAGGUGAAAGAAGAUUCGUAUAUAAACAUGAAGAAAAUUUCCUACAGCUUCAGUGCUGGUUAAAAUAAUUUUAAGGAAUGACAGAUUCGCGCAUGUAUGAGUUUGAAGACAUAGGUUGGGAUGAUCUUUGUCAGAGUGAUGACCAUAUAGUGCCUCGUCCUUUGGAAGAUAAUUCUCUCUUGCGUGAUAGCUCCAAGAAACCUCACUUUGAAGAAAUAAAUAUUGCAUUUAACACCGAGGACAGACAAUAUGCUGGACAUGUUGAUCAAGGAAGUGAAGAAGGAAAGUUUUCAUUAUUGAGUAAAAGGAAGUACAGAAUGUCGGAAAGAGAUUCUACACCGGGUGCACCAGGUGGUGUAUUUUCUUCCUCAACAGAUCCUGAAUCGACCAAAGAAGCAUCUAGUUUAGGUUCUGAGAAAGCCACUUCCUCAACUAAUGUUCAUGAAAGUAGUAAUACGGAUACCCAUGGUAAUCAGUUUUGUGUUGCUGGUACCACUGGCUUUAAGACCAACUCCUCCACUGAUGCUCUUGGUGACAUAACUCAUGCUGGAAACAAUCUCAAUUUCUUUGAAAAUGAUGAAGUCAAAGAUUCAAGUGAUUUCUUUAAUUUUGGUUGGCCUGAAAUAGAGAACUUUGAAGACGUUGACAGGAUAUUUAGGAGUUGUGACUCAACAUUUGGACUUGGAGCCAGUAGAGAGGAUGAGUUCCGCUGGUUUUCAGCACCAGAUAACAUCGGAAGCACUGGAGAACUUGUCAAUUCAGACUUCAAAUUCACAUCACCUGAGUCGAAUUCUGCCGAAAAUCUCUCAUCAAACCAUACCUUCUUGAAGGGCCAUUCUUCAAAUGAUGGUGCCAUGGUGGGUGCACCUAUCAGGCUCAGAGAUGGUUCUUGGAUCUCAGAGAACCCUGAAUCUCACGUGUCCUUUGUGUAUGGACCUGCUAUUGCGAAUGGCGAGCAAGGAUGUAACCCUAAAGCACAUCUGAACAGGCACCAAAGUCAGGUGAAGCUGCAGAACCAGUUCAAGGGAAAAAUAAAAGAGCAUGAUUUUGGAAAUGGUGCAAGUAAGCUUCCGGAUGACGCAGUGCACCCCCCUUCUAGGGCCAAGUGUUAUCAAGAUUUCUCAUUCCAGCAACAACCAAUGCAUGUUUUGGUGCCAGAUCCCUGUAAUUAUUUACAAAAUCACCUCCCGUAUGUGCAUCCAGAUAACAGUCCUUCGUCUGAUCUGACAUCAGUAAAUCCAACAUCUUCUGCUAUCAAAACUGAGACAAAUGAGUUGACAUCUCCACCAACCAGAGAUUCCUCCCAUACACCCAAUCUGUUUCAAUCUAUAAAUGGCUCUCAUGACCUUCCUCUUCCUGAAACAGUUCCAACAGGAACUGGAAAAGGAGGAGUAAAGCUAAAUCGUCGCCAUGGUAGUCAAUCUCAAGUCAAGAGCAAUAUAAAACCUGCAAACAUAGUGGUGCAAGCCACCUCAAGCAAUCCUGGUUCUAUGACCGAAGAAGCGCAUUAUACCCAAGAUAAGUCAGAGAAUCAUAGUGAGUUGGCAGAAGUACGCCACUUCAUUCCAGCAGAAUUAGGAUCCUCAAAUGUUCAAGAAAGCUCAACAAGUUCUGGAAAGGAUGAUGCUUCUCUUGGAGCAGCUAGUUUUCGCCAGCUUAAGCUGGUUAUGGAGCAGUUGGAUCUAAGAACGAAGAUAUGCAUAAGAGACAGUUUGUACCGUCUUGCACGGAGUGCUGCAAAAAGGCAUAACCAUGCAAACUCAAACAGCAGCUUUGAUGUUGUAAGAGAUGCCAGUGGAACAUUAGUAGCUGAAGGAACAAAAAGGCCACUUAAACUUAAGUUACAUGCUAACUCUCUUUUGUCCGUCCCGGGCACAACAGCUUCGUGGAUUUUGAAACGGAUACAAAUCCUAUAGACCGCUCGGUAGCACACUUGCUGUUUCACAGACCUUCUGAGUCAUCCCCUGCAUCUGCCCAAGAUUCACUGCCAUUCAAGUUGCCAAGCAUGGUACGGGGUUCUGACACAAGUACACCUGUAAUGAAGAACUUGAUAGACAGUGAAGAGGCAGGUGACUGCAAACAAUUGCUCUUAAAGAGUUAAGAUGAUCUUGGUGGCCAUAUGAAGUUCUUGUAUAAAGAAUUUUGUGUGCUUAUAGUAGAGCUCAACUUUCUUUGAUCCUGAUAGAACUUCCAUGGUCUAACCCUGCCAUAACUGUGAUUAUAGUGAGUUGAAGAAAAAUACACUUAGCAGUUCAGUUACUAGGUUUCUUGUAUAAAUGUCAAUAUGGUGUCUAGCUUUAGGCUCCAGCUAUCAACUAUACUAUUAGAAUUUCAUUUUAUGCAUUUAAUGUGCAAAUAUAAAUAAUAGUAGUAUCUCUAGUUAA